GAAGAAAAAGUUUUUUUUUUUUAAAGACUUCACGUGAAUUCCGGUCAGAAAGAUGCAUAUGAGGAAGCUCGACUAAAACAUCCACAUGCAACUUUGAUUUCUGACUGGUAGACAGAUGAGGAUGAUGAUCGCCUGUCAUACAUCUAAAGACAGAACAGGGACAGUAUAGACGCAUCUAUACCAUGAUGAA